UUUCCGUAGGUGAACCUGCGGAAGGAUCAUUAUCGUACAACGGGGGUGCGAGGGCUGUCGCUGACCCUUCGAAAGGUCGUGCACGCUCGAGCACUCUCAUAAAUCCAUCUCACCCCUUUGUGCAUCACCGCGUGGGUUCCCUUUGCAGGGGGGCCCACGUUUUCGCACAAAACUUGAUACAGCGUAGAAUGUCAUUUUUGCGGUCACACGCAAUCAAUACAACUUUCAACAACGGAUCUCUUGGCUCUC
rnacentral:misc_RNA from 1 species